rnacentral:lncRNA from 1 species
GCUGCUCCUACAGCUCUGAUCUUUAUGUAUAUGAGAUAAAAAUUUAUUGAGAAGGACUGAGUUCUCACACUCUUCAAUCAACAUAAAUUGGGGCUCUGACCUCCAUCUCGUGUUUCUCCUCAGUCUUUUCAUUGGCUCUUAGUAAUUUCCUGUUAUCUCUUGGAAAGGCUCUUUGCUGCCCAGCUGUCUCCCUGACCUUGGUGCUUUGUCUUUUGGCAGCAGCUGUGUUCUCUGGGUAGGAUCAAGUUUCUCCAGGACACCGUGAAGAAGUUAGAGGGAAGAUAGGAUCCUUUCUGUGUGAGAGCUUGGAGUCUGAACUGAAAAAGAAACCCUGAUUUGCCCAGUGCAGCAAGCCUUCCCGGGUAACCUCAUCCUCAGGCAACACUAGUGCAGAGCAAGCACUCUGACCAAGGACAAUCAGGCACUCAAACCUCACUUCAGACAGCAGAGCCAAAGUUCCGAGAAACAAAGGAUGGGAAGUGUUAUUCCUCUGCAAGCAGGAGAAUGUUCCAUGACCACUAGAUCAUUGAGAUGUUACACCUGAGCAUCCUGGCCAGACCUGGGAGCUGAUCUUUCUCUGAUUUACUUUAUGGUGCCCACCUGCUUGUCUGCCUCCUGGGCCUGUUCUCUUUUCACUCGAGGUUGCAGAGCAUAUUGGCCUGGUUUCCCACCGAUUGUGUCCUCAGAGUGCCCUCUGUCUGGAAGACCUGAGUCUGGCCAGAAGGACUUAGAGUGGGUAGAGGAAAUGUCUUCCUCUCCUACAGUUUAGCAACUUAAACGGGAUAAAAUUUCACUGCCUGGACACUGCUCACUCCUGGACUGCUGCAGCCAAGAGAUCCUGGACCCCUGACAAGAACCAGCAAAAGGUAAGAAUUCUUACCACAUCAGUCUCCUGGAUCUCUGCCUGCAGGGUCCAAUGGAAGUGAGAGUAGUGAGGGGUUUUUUUGCGUUUCUAAAUUUAGAUUAGCAGGAGAAAAUUUUGGUGAGGCUAGCUUCUUGGACUCAGUGACUCUAGGAUUUGAUUGAUUACUCAUUGGUUGUAGAUCCUUUUCCUCCCAGAGAUAGUAUUUUUCCUUGUCUCUGUCUUUUUUUGUUGUUUGUCCUAAGGCACAGGCAUCCGUAUAAGCCUGUUGUCUGGGAAUAUGCGCAUAGGUGGAAGCUGUUGCUAAGGGCAUAUUGGAAGCCAAAAAGGCUGCAACUUUGGUGGGCAUGGGUCGAGCAGUUAAGAGCCAUUAGGGCACUCACCACCUCAAGAAUUCUCAAGUGAAAGGGUGAGUUAGUCACAGAACAGGGUAGAUGACACAGUUCCCCCGCCAACUUCAGGAAAAUGUCCGUGCAAUGACGAGGUACUCUGUAAAACACACACAAACCCCAACCCCAUGGCACCUCCCUCCUAGGUGGUAUUCUG